GGGUUGUGAGGUUAAGCGACUAAGCGUACACGGUGGAUGCCCUGGCAGUCAGAGGCGAUGAAGGACGUGCUAAUCUGCGAAAAGCGUCGGUAAGGUGAUAUGAACCGUUACAGCCGGCGAUGUCCGAAUGGGGAAACCCAGUGCAAUUCGUUGCACUAUCGUUUGAUGAAUACAUAGUCAAACGAGGCGAACCGGGGGAACUGAAACAUCUAAGUACCCCGAGGAAAAGAAAUCAACCGAGAUUCCCCCAGUAGCGGCGAGCGAACGGGGAGCAGCCCGGAGUCUGAAUCAGCUUGUGUGUUAGUGGAAGCGUCUGGAAAGUCGCAGGGUACAGGGUGAUACUCCCGUACACUAAAACACACAGGUUGUGAACUCGAAGAGUAGGGCGGGACACGUGGUAUCCUGUCUGAAUAUGGGGGGACCAUCCUCCAAGGCUAAAUACUCCUGACUGACCGAUAGUGAACCAGUACCGUGAGGGAAAGGCGAAAAGAACCCCGGCGAGGGGAGUGAAAAAGAACCUGAAACCGUGUACGUACAAGCAGUAGGAGCCCACUUGUUGGGUGACUGCGUACCUUUUGUAUAAUGGGUCAGCGACUUAUAUUCUGUAGCAAGGUUAACCGUAUAGGGGAGCCGCAGGGAAACCGAGUCUUAACUGGGCGUUAAGUUGCAGGGUAUAGACCCGAAACCCGGUGAUCUAGCCAUGGGCAGGUUGAAGGUUGGGUAACACUAACUGGAGGACCGAACCGACUAAUGUUGAAAAAUUAGCGGAUGACUUGUGGCUGGGGGUGAAAGGCCAAUCAAACCGGGAGAUAGCUGGUUCUCCCCGAAAGCUAUUUAGGUAGCGCCUCGUGAAUUCAUCUUCGGGGGUAGAGCACUGUUUCGGCUAGGGGGUCAUCCCGACUUACCAACCCGAUGCAAACUACGAAUACCGAAGAAUGUUAUCACGGGAGACACACGGCGGGUGCUAACGUCCGUCGUGAAGAGGGAAACAACCCAGACCGCCAGCUAAGGUCCCAAAGUCAUGGUUAAGUGGGAAACGAUGUGGGAAGGCCCAGACAGCCAGGAUGUUGGCUUAGAAGCAGCCAUCAUUUAAAGAAAGCGUAAUAGCUCACUGGUCGAGUCGGCCUGCGCGGAAGAUGUAACGGGGCUAAACCAUGCACCGAAGCUGCGGCAGCGACGCUUAGGCGUUGUUGGGUAGGGGAGCGUUCUGUAAGCCGUUGAAGGUGGCCUGUGAGGGUUGCUGGAGGUAUCAGAAGUGCGAAUGCUGACAUAAGUAACGAUAAUGCGGGUGAAAAACCCGCACGCCGGAAGACCAAGGGUUCCUGUCCAACGUUAAUCGGGGCAGGGUGAGUCGACCCCUAAGGCGAGGCCGAAAGGCGUAGUCGAUGGGAAACAGGUUAAUAUUCCUGUACUUGGUGUUACUGCGAAGGGGGGACGGAGAAGGCUAUGUUGGCCGGGCGACGGUUGUCCCGGUUUAAGCGUGUAGGUGUGUGUUCCAGGUAAAUCCGGUUCACUUUAACACUGAGGCGUGAUGACGAGGCACUACGGUGCUGAAGUGACAAAUGCCCUGCUUCCAGGAAAAGCCUCUAAGCAUCAGGUAACAUCAAAUCGUACCCCAAACCGACACAGGUGGUCAGGUAGAGAAUACCAAGGCGCUUGAGAGAACUCGGGUGAAGGAACUAGGCAAAAUGGUGCCGUAACUUCGGGAGAAGGCACGCUGAUAUGUAGGUGAAGUGAUUUACUCAUGGAGCUGAAAUCAGUCGAAGAUACCAGCUGGCUGCAACUGUUUAUUAAAAACACAGCACUGUGCAAACACGAAAGUGGACGUAUACGGUGUGACGCCUGCCCGGUGCCGGAAGGUUAAUUGAUGGGGUUAUCCGUAAGGAGAAGCUCUUGAUCGAAGCCCCGGUAAACGGCGGCCGUAACUAUAACGGUCCUAAGGUAGCGAAAUUCCUUGUCGGGUAAGUUCCGACCUGCACGAAUGGCGUAAUGAUGGCCAGGCUGUCUCCACCCGAGACUCAGUGAAAUUGAACUCGCUGUGAAGAUGCAGUGUACCCGCGGCAAGACGGAAAGACCCCGUGAACCUUUACUAUAGCUUGACACUGAACACUGGUCCUUGAUGUGUAGGAUAGGUGGGAGGCUUUGAAGUGUGGACGCCAGUCUGCAUGGAGCCAUCCUUGAAAUACCACCCUUUAAUGGCUGGUGUUCUAACGUGGGCCCGUAAUCCGGGUUGCGGACAGUGUCUGGUGGGUAGUUUGACUGGGGCGGUCUCCUCCUAAAGAGUAACGGAGGAGCACGAAGGUCAGCUAAUCCUGGUCGGACAUCAGGAGGUUAGUGCAAUGGCAUAAGCUGGCUUGACUGCGAGCGUGACGGCGCGAGCAGGUGCGAAAGCAGGUCAUAGUGAUCCGGUGGUUCUGAAUGGAAGGGCCAUCGCUCAACGGAUAAAAGGUACUCCGGGGAUAACAGGCUGAUACCGCCCAAGAGUUCAUAUCGACGGCGGUGUUUGGCACCUCGAUGUCGGCUCAUCACAUCCUGGGGCUGAAGUAGGUCCCAAGGGUAUGGCUGUUCGCCAUUUAAAGUGGUACGCGAGCUGGGUUUAGAACGUCGUGAGACAGUUCGGUCCCUAUCUGCCGUGGGCGCUGGAGAAUUGAGGGGGGCUGCUCCUAGUACGAGAGGACCGGAGUGGACGCAUCACUGGUGUUCGGGUUGUCAUGCCAAUGGCAUUGCCCGGUAGCUAAAUGCGGAAGAGAUAAGUGCUGAAAGCAUCUAAGUACGAAACUUGCCCCGAGAUGAGUUCUCCCUGACUCCUUGAGAGUCCUGAAGGAACGUUGAAGACGACGACGUUGAUAGGCCGGGUGUGUAAGCGCAGCGAUGCGUUGAGCUAACCGGUACUAAUGAACCGUGAGGCUUAACCUUACAACGCCGAAG
rnacentral:rRNA from 1 species